GACGAACGCUGGCGGCGUGCCUAAUACAUGCAAGUAGAACGCACAGUUUAUACCGUAGCUUGCUACACCAUAGACUGUGAGCUGCGAACGGGUGAGUAACGCGUAGGUAACCUGCCUGGUAGCGGGGGAUAACUAUUGGAAACGAUAGCUAAUACCGCAUAAUAUUAAUUAUUGCAUGAUAAUUAAUUGAAAGGUGCAAUUGCACCACUACCAGAUGGACCUGCGUUGUAUUAGCUAGUAGGUGAGGUAACGGCUCACCUAGGCGACGAUACAUAGCCGACCUGAGAGGGUGAUCGGCCACACUGGGACUGAGACACGGCCCAGACUCCUACGGGAGGCAGCAGUAGGGAAUCUUCGGCAAUGGACGAAAGUCUGACCGAGCAACGCCGCGUGAGUGAAGAAGGUUUUCGGAUCGUAAAGCUCGGUUGUAAGAGAAGAACGGGUGUGAGAGUGGAAAGUUCACACUGUGACGGUAUCUUACCAGAAAGGGACGGCUAACUACGUG
rnacentral:rRNA from 1 species